rnacentral:misc_RNA from 1 species
GGGAUUUCUAUCAGAAUGAAAAGGUAAUUCUAAUUCAUCUGAUGAAAGUAUAUAAACUAUUUUUCAGAUUUAUAUUCAUGUUGAAAAUUUGUGCCAUAUUGGAGAAAUCCAGACAAGUGAAGUCUUUGUCUAAAGUACAUUUUUGAAUACUUUUAUGCUUCUAGCCUUUUAGUCAUCUAAAUAUUACUUUCUAUUGGUUAUUAUCUCAGUGUUCUUGGAAUUUUGCACCCUUGGAGUAUAAAAUGAAAGUGACACUGCAGUCUUUAUGCUUUAAUUAUAUAUUAAAAAUAGAAGUUAUCAAUACCUUAAAAAUAUGGAACUAAGAAAAAAAUCGGCUGCAACUAUCAUGAGGAUGGAAUUGCUUGUCUCAUGUAAUAAUGUGUUAAUAUAAUAUCUUGGUUUGCGAGUGAAAUUGCAUGCUGACAUUAUCUCUUUGAUUUGCACAAUAUUAGAAUUUAAAAUACCUAUAUGCUAAGAAUAUAUCAAUUACUAUAUUGGAGUCCUCCUAAUAUUUUGAUAAACUAUAUGUAACAAAAAGCUAUCUUUAAUGAUCUUCACUUUCAUAGCUGAUAGCUCCACUACUUGACGGAUUUUAAGGUGAUUUAGCUCAAAUGUCAAAUGUGUCUCUGCAAGCAUGUAAUUGGUACAAUCACCUGCAUCUGCAUUCUGUCAAGUUCAUCAGAUGAAGAGUCUUGGAGAUGCAGAAAAAGAUUGGGGGAAAUGAAGAAUAAGAAUAAAUUGAAAAAAAAAAAUUGCAUGUUACCGUGCUAGACUGAAGUAUUGGAUAAUGCUAUAAGGUUGUUAGAUUGUUAAUGACGUGACUAUAACUCUAAUAUUAGUUUGCUAUCUUAUAAAUAUCUGCUGCUUCAUCUGAAUAUAACUGUCUUGUGAUUUAAUACAAGAUGCUCUGAAAUUUAGUACUUUCAGAUGUUCCAUACUUUUCUCGAAACUAAGGUUGAGAAGGAUUUUACUUUCUCAAAUCCAGCCUAGUAGGUUCUGUUUUGGUGGGAUUUUCUUCUGGAAAAUGGAUGCAAAUGCCAAAUGUGCUUGUGCUUAGUUGUUGUCAAGAAUCG